ACAAAGAAAAGCAAAACCGAACUUCAAAGUAAGGUUUUGGGUUUCCAGGGUUUCCACUUACGGCUUACCCAUCUUCUGGUUCUGCCGUUCUGCAUUUGUCUUGGAGACUUGGAGUCUUGCUGCUACGGACUACUUCACUCCUUCCGAUCCACUUCCUUCCUACCGGAAUCUGCUAUAAUUGGAGUUGAUCAGUUGAAUGGUCGAAUUAGAAAACUCCUGGAUGUCUCCUAAAAGUGAAGAAAUGGUUUAACCCCAAUGGUUACCUCGUUCGUCUCUCUAUCUCCAUUGCCAUAUCUCUGUUUUCAUCUCAUUCUUGUCUGCUCACCAAAGCUGGGGACGUCUAUCCAAUAAAAGCCUUACCAUUUCUAGCUCAUAACUGGUAAGAACCAGAGCCCUAGCUCUUACAGCGACUCAGAAAUUCUUGAAGAAUUAGGGCUUCUCGUUGCGUCUACUUUCGGGUAAUUGUUGAGGAACUAAACUAUGUUGCACAGAGUGUGCAAUACAAAACUUGCAAGAAAUUGAAGCAAUCAGAAAUAAAAGAAAAACGACAUCCUCUAUUAAGUAAGUCUGCGACCCCACUUGGCUGUUUCUAUCAUUGUGUUAUUCUCCUCUAGAGUUCAUCUUGGAUGAUUCAUGUUCUAGAUCAGAAUGUCCUUUUUGGUUCUGUUUUUUAAAUUAAUGGAGGUGUUAUACCUCUGGCAUAUUGGGUUAUUCAAACUUAGGAUUACCAGAUUAAAAUCUCUGCCUCAGCACAGUAACUGAAUGAGUUUCUGCUAGUAUGUUCUACCCAUAAUACAAAAAUCUUAGUAUGCUUAGUAUGUUUUCUUUGGACAGCACGUGAAGAGAGGUUUCCUUGAUCAUAAGGUGUAAAUGACCCAUGCUAUUGUAAAGGCUAUGCAUGUUGAUGGGACUUGAAAACUUGAUUAUUUAAUUAACCAAAGGCUAU